UACGUAGGGGGCAAGCGUUGUCCGGAUUUAUUGGGCGUAAAGAGCGUGUAGGCGGCUAGGUAGGUCCGUUGUGAAAACUCGAGGCUCAACCUCGAGACGUCGAUGGAAACCAUCUGGCUAGAGUCCGGAAGAGGAGAGUGGAAUUCCUGGUGUAGCGGUGAAAUGCGCAGAUAUCAGGAAGAACACCAAUGGCGAAAGCAGCUCUCUGGGACGGUACUGACGCUGAGACGCGAAAGCGUGGGGAGCGAACAGG
rnacentral:rRNA from 1 species